UUUGCUAACAGCUUUACUCUCUCUUUUGAGUUCACUUGUCCGUGGUGGAGCUGUGAUAAGGUAGUUUCCGUUUAGGUUUUUGAGCGUGGUCAGUAAGUACAAGACCACAGUACUAACUGUUGUAAAAACAAAAAGAAAAAAAAAUCACACACUUUACAGUUUGCGAAAUAAGUUAAAACGUGAUAUCUGCCAGCUGAAGUGUAACGUUAGCGUUUUCCUGGAGGGCCUCGAGCAGCCACGUGGUUACUGAAAGAUGGACGAGAUGAGAGACAAAGUGAGGUGAGACUUGACUCUGGAAGCUUUUUGAUGGAGUCUAACAAAUCCUGUAUUGGAUACAUGAGGUCUCCUCAUGUUCAGAGACUGGUCAGAAUGGGCUGAUUCAAGAUGGCCGAAUGUCAAGACUCAGCUGAAAAACGAAACGAUGUGUGUGAGCUGCCAUAAGAGCUUGCUGAAGACCACGGGUGAAUGAUGGGUGCCUUUCAGCUCUGCGAGGUCCCGUCUAAGCCAGCUGACCGGAGACUUGAUUUCCUGCAGGUGGAGCUGGUCGUUGAAGGUUCAACUGAAUUAAAGUGGUUGAAUGAUUGAAAUGCUCCUCGUGUCUUUCUGCCUGUCUGGUCCUGUCCCAUGAAGAUUGCUGUCGAAGUUGGAUCUAGUGGUUGCAGCAACUUGGCCUGAGCAUACCUGCAAAGCUACAUGUGAUGGCAAGAGGACUCGUGGCCACGGUUCUGAAGACGGGUGUCGACAUGUUUGUCAAAAGCAGACUGAUUAUUUCUUUGAGACUGUAAUAAAGUAUUGAAACAGCCUGA